GCAAGUAGAGUGGCGAACGGGUGAGUAAUACAUCGGAACAUAUCCAGUAGCGGGGGAUAACCUGUCGAAAGAUAGGCUAAUACCGCAUACGAUCUACGGAUGAAAGCGGGGGACCUUCGGGCCUCGCGCGAUUGGAGCGGCCGAUAUCAGAUUAGCUAGUUGGUGGGGUAAAAGCUCACCAAGGCGACGAUCUGUAGCUGGUCUGAGAGGACGACCAGCCACACUGGAACUGAGACACGGUCCAGACUCC
rnacentral:rRNA from 1 species